UGAGCUAGAGUAAACUGUCAAGACUUAAAACUUAUUCAUUUUACCUUUCACCAUGGGACUUGUAACUGUCACUUCUGUCCUGAGUAGUUAAAAGAUAGAACAGUCUAGUCAAGUGCCAUGUCUCUUAUUCUUGAUCAGCUAUAGCUCUGGAGGCUUUGCAGAUUUUCAAAUAAAACUCAGAGUUUCCUUGUAUGACUCUCUCAGAUCUCUCUUUUGUGGUAUUUCUAGAUCCUUACCAAGGCAGUGAUGGUAUAUGCCUUCUCUCAAAGUAUGUAGUAUUUGUGGUAUAAGGCAUAGUGACAUUGCCUUCUCUCUCACCUUACUUUAAUAAGGCUUUUGAUAUCUGGAGCUCAUAGGUGGGAGAUAAAGUAUACAUACUUACAAGACAUUUAUUGCAUAGUCAAACCAUGGAUCCAAAGAAACAAAUCAAUAAGUCAAAUCAAGAUGUGCAUGUGUGGCAAAUGAAUGGUGUAUGGUGAUGAUGGUGAUAACAAUGGUGAAAGCCUAAUUCUACUUUUGCUCUUUGAGGGGAUACAUACCUUCCUUGCUUUUUGAAAUUUUAUGAGGAGAAUGAGAUGCUCUUCUUUUUUCUUUUUCUUUCCUCUCAGGUGGGUAUCUUGUACCCCUAAUUCUACUGUCGGACACUUGUCCAUUUUUACCUCUCGUCUCACUCUUUUUCUUUCUUCCGAGGUUCCAGGCACUUGCCCCUUUUUAUUUCCUCGUAUUUUCUCUUUUUUUUAGAGCACUCAUUGUAACAGAACCGACCAAAUUAUAAGAGAUUAAGCCUAAUAGUGACCAUUUGCAUAGUCAAACCGUCGAGCUUAUGCCCAUAUAAUCCCGGUAGUCCGUGAAAUCUCGAAGGAUUUCAAACCACAUAUCGUACAUACAUCCAAGAUCGUAAUAAGUUUAGCGGUCGCCAUCCACAAAUACAUCCAGAUUACAACAUUCAUAAAAUACAUCGGUGUUCUUAAAGUUAUUACAAACCAAGUUCUCAGGUAGCGGAAGCUUCAUAGUUCGAAAAUACAACACACACACUUAGUCUGAUACAGUGCC
rnacentral:lncRNA from 1 species